UACGUAGGGUGCAAGCGUUGUCCGGAAUUAUUGGGCGUAAAGAGCUCGUAGGCGGUCUGUCGCGUCGGCUGUGAAAACUCGGGGCUCAACCCCGAGCCUGCAGUCGAUACGGGCAGACUAGAGUGCUGUAGGGGAGACUGGAAUUCCUGGUGUAGCGGUGAAAUGCGCAGAUAUCAGGAGGAACACCCGUAGCGAAGGCGGCACUCUGGGCCGAUACUGACACUGAGGAGCGAAAGCGUGGGGAGCGAACAGG
rnacentral:rRNA from 1 species